rnacentral:rRNA from 1 species
UUUCGAAUCAUUCACAAUGGGCGAAAGCCUGAUGGUGCGACGCCGCGUGAGGGAUGAAGGCCUUCGGGUUGUAAACCUCUGUCACCGGGGAAGAAACGCUGCAUUUUAAUAGAAUGCAGCCUGACUUAACCCGGAGAGGAAGCAGUGGCUAACUCUGUGCCAGCAGCCGCGGUAAUACAGAGACUGCAAGCGUUAUUCGGAUUCACUGGGCGUAAAGGGUGCGCAGGCGGCCGAGUGUGUGAGGCGUGAAAGCCCGGGGCUUAACCCCGGAAUUGCACCUCAAACUACACGGCUAGAGCAUUGGAGAGGGUAGCAGAAUUCAUGGUGUAGCAGUGAAAUGCGUAGAUAUCAUGAGGAAUACCAGAGGCGAAGGCGGCUACCUGGACAAUUGCUGACGCUCAGGCACGAAAGCGUGGGGAGCAAAAGGG